GGGUCAGUAGGUUGGUCGUGCCACCGGUACGUACUGGUCUCACUGAUUCCUCCUUCCUGAAGAACCGUAAUGCCAUUAAUUUGGUGUUGCGGGGAAACAGGACUGUUACUUCGAAAAAAUUAGAGUGUUUAAAGCAAGCUAGCGCUUGAAUACAUUAGCAUGGAAUAAUGAAAUAGGACGAUCGAUCCUAUUUUGUUGGUUUCUAGGAUUGACGUA
rnacentral:rRNA from 1 species